rnacentral:rRNA from 1 species
GACAGAGGCCUCGAGCGUUAGGCGGAAUCACUGGGCUUAAAGCGUGUGUAGGCGGAUCGUUAAGUACCUUGUGAAAUCCCUCGGCUCAACCGAGGAACUGCCUUUCAAACUGCAUGGCUUGAGUCCGGGAGAGGUGAGUGGAAUUCCCAGUGUAGCGGUGAAAUGCGUAGAUAUUGGGAGGAACACCAGUGGCGAAGGCGGCUCACUGGACCGGAACUGACGCUGAGGCGCGAAAGCGUGGGGAGCAAACGGG